rnacentral:rRNA from 1 species
GCGAUAAGCGCCGGUAAGGUGAUAUGAACCGUUAUAACCGGCGAUACCCGAAUGGGGAAACCCAGUGUGACUCGUCACACUAUCAUUAACUGAAUCCAUAGGUUAAUGAGGCGAACCGGGGGAACUGAAACAUCUAAGUACCCCGAGGAAAAGAAAUCAACCGAGAUUCCCCCAGUAGCGGCGAGCGAACGGGGAGGAGCCCAGAGCCUGAAUCAGCAUGUGUGUUAGUGGAAGCGUCUGGAAAGGCGCGCGAUACAGGGUGACAGCCCCGUACACAAAAGCGCAUGUGCUGUGAGCUCGAUGAGUAGGGCGGGACACGUGGUAUCCUGUCUGAAUAUGGGGGGACCAUCCUCCAAGGCUAAAUACUCCUGACUGACCGAUAGUGAACCAGUACCGUGAGGGAAAGGCGAAAAGAACCCCGGCGAGGGGAGUGAAAAAGAACCUGAAACCGUGUA